GAAUUAUAUUAGGCUAUAUUAUAAUAUAAUACAAAUUUAUAAUAUAUUAUAUAACAUGAUACUGUAGGUUCUGUAAUGCAGAGAGAAAGGGAAUGAGUGAAUCACUGGGGUGUCAAAAGCUAUCUAUCUGUCUCCCUUUUAUCAAUAUCAGCCUCUGCUUUUAUGAUUAUUUUAGUGAUAAGUAAAAGAAGAAGAAAGAAAAGAAAAGAAGAGUACGAAACGCCUGCCCCCAGGUCCAAUGUCUAAUCCGAAGUACUAAAGGUGAAGAGUGUGCGACUGGUCAAAGGUCAGAAUCUGCUGUAUGGACAGACGGUGGGGAAGAGCACACGCGAUCAACUUGCAAGAACAAGACGCGAAACGUUUUUAAUUCUGCAAUGCUGUCGGUUUGAGCAGUUGAGGGAUUUGAACACGCAGCGAAACUCCAGAAUGGCACGAAAAACAUCUGUCGUCGUUGUUGAUGCGUGAGGGUCAGAAGAGGACGGCCAGACAGCUUUGAGCUGACGGG
ensembl:lncRNA